AAGACUAUAGACCUGCGGAGUACCUGCGGAAGGAUCAUUAAAGAGUUUAACUACUCAAACCAUUGUGAACCUUACCUCAACCGUUGCUUCGGCGGGCGGGCCCGGGCCAAGCCCGGCGCCCCCCCGGCCCCUCGCGGGCGCCCGCCGGAGGUUAACCGAACCCUUGAAUUGUAUGGCCUCUCUGAGUCUUCUGUACUGAAUAAGUCAAAACUUUUAGCAAUGGAUCUCUAGAUCGGAAGA
rnacentral:misc_RNA from 1 species